UUAUAUUCUAAGCAACUCAUAUCAUCCAAUUAACAAUAUCAUAUAUAAAACAAAUUACACUAAUAAUCCUUAAUUAACAUUCAAAUACAUAUUACUUAAUAAUAUUAACCCUUAUUAGUAUUAACUUCAUAGAAACUAAAACAUCCUAAUUAUUAUAAAAUUCAUCCAUAUAACUUAUUUUGAAUACUAACCAAAUUUAAUUACUUUGCUAACUAGCUAAUUAAACCUUUCUAAGAUCGUAUAGUUCUUGUUUAUCGACUUCCUUAAUUUUUCAGCCUGAAGCCUAAUUUCUAAAUAUACGUCAAUCCACAGAUCAAUAUCAGUUGAUGUCAGAUGUUAAAACUAAUUAUAUAUUCAUACUCUACACGAAAAAUGCAAUAUUCUGCCUCUUGGGAACUCCGGUCACCGAAACCACCACUGUCGCCGCCGUCUA
rnacentral:lncRNA from 1 species